AGCUUGUGAUCCUUUUCCUGAGCACUUAUUACUCUCUAAAUAAUGAGUAACUCUAGGGAGAGGGAGCUUCUUUUAUACAGAGCUCUUGAUAUCCUUUGGGAAAUUACUCAUCAGAAUCAGCUGGGGGCCAUUUGUAAGCGAGUCAGGUUCAGACUUUGCCUCAGCGUAUGGGGGUACUGUUGGCUUUUGGUGUUCCUGCCUGCUCUGUUCAAGUGCUGUGGGAGUGCACCUACUGACCUACAGAUGUUGUGGGACUGUGUUUUCUGCUCAUCCUCAAGUUCAUCCAAAUGGUACAACAGUUUAGUUGUGUUCAUAAUGAUGAACACAUUCUGCAUUACAACCAAAGAUAUGUCUCAUGCUGUGCUAUAAGAGAUAACAAGAAGCUUGAUGUCACCAAGGGAAUGAAUGGAAAGGUGUUAUGGUAAAAUGGAGGAGAAAUAUUGAACCGGCUUCGUGUGGCAAAGAAAAUAGGAGGAGGAGGACAGCAGAUGUGAGCAUCUCUGAACCAGGAAGUUCUCAAGGCGCAUUUCCAUCUUGAAGAUGUGCCAGGACACAUAAGAGCACACGACACAACAAGAAAACUUAUUGGAGAGGCAAGAUUGCUUGUUUUUAAUCCCGUGAUAAAACAAAGGUUGCCGUUGCAUUUUGCAUCUGCAGAUCUAGUCCCCAGUACCUUCGUUAGCCCCAGUUUCGAGGUCUGAGUUGCGACGCUUUGUAUUUUCGAUCGGACGCCAAUUUAUUUUUGACCCGUUCUUACUCAUUAUAGCCGAUAGAUGGCAGCAAACGACCACAGAUCUUCCGUUCCUAUCGUAGCCUGCUCCUCCUCGAUAGCUUUCUGUGGAAUUUUCCUAUUUGAAACCGAAACGGUGCUGAUUCCGCAGUAGCAGAACGCAGUACGAGGCAGCAGACCCGAUUUAACAUGUUAGAGCGUUAAGGCCAGUGAUGGAACUGUCUGU
rnacentral:lncRNA from 7 species